GUGAGGUGAGGAGAACAGGGGUCCAAAGUGGCCCGAACGCGAGCCCCGGGCUUUCUGUUGGCUUGCUGGCCGCUACCGGAGUCCAAGUUGAGGCAGUAGAACUACUGUUCCGGAAAAGUAUACAAAGUCCGCUUCCUCCUACCCCGACACACCCUUUGCUGAGCUUUCUGCUCCCUGAACCUGCCCAACUGGAUGCGAAGGCCACCCAGUGUCACCAGGGCUUCUCGUCAGACUAACUGGUCAGUCUGGUCGCCCGGAGAUGUUUGCCAGGUGUUGAGGCUGUUGAUAGCCCUAGCACUCAACCCACGGGAGGUCAUGGGGAUGAAGAAGACAGGAAAAAGGACUGAAAAGGACUAGCCAGCACAGUAGGAGGAGCACAGUUUUGAGAUUAAGAAACCAAGCCUAAGAAAAUCUGUCUACCAAGAUUUCACCUCAUUGCUUAUAGAAUCUGGUGAACGCCUCUCCACCUGAAGUCCACAUAUGCAGAGAUUCCUGGCCAGCCAGUGAGUGAUGCUGCUUUUGACUUGUGAGGCUUUCACCAUGAA